CGUAGGGCAAGCGUUAUCCGGAUUUACUGGGUGUAAAGGGAGCGUAGACGGCAGUGCAAGUCUGAAGUGAAAGCCCGGGGCUCAACCCCGGGACUGCUUUGGAAACUGUGCAGCUAGAGUGUCGGAGAGGCAAGCGGAAUUCCUAGUGUAGCGGUGAAAUGCGUAGAUAUUAGGAGGAGCACCAGUGGCGAAGGCGGCUUGCUGGACGAUGACUGACGUUGAGGCUCGAAAGCGUGGGAGCAAACAGGAUU
rnacentral:rRNA from 1 species